GAUGAACGCUGGCGGCGUGCCUAAUACAUGCAAGUCGAGCGAACGGACGAGAAGCUUGCUUUUCUGAUGUUAGCGGCGGACGGGUGAGUAACACGUGGAUAACCUACCUAUAAGACUGGGAUAACUUCGGGAAACCGGAGCUAAUACCGGAUAAUAUUUUGAACCGCAUGGUUCAAAAGUGAAAGACGGUCUUGCUGACACUUAUAGAUGGAUCCGCGCUGCAUUAGCUAGUUGGUAAGGUAACGGCUUACCAAGGCAACGAUGCAUAGCCGACCUGAGAGGGUGAUCGGCCACACUGGAACUGAGACACGGUCCAGACCCCUACGGGAGGCAGCAGUAGGGAAUCUUCCGCAAUGGGCGAAAGCCUGACGGAGCAACGCCGCGUGAGUGAUGAAGGUCUUCGGAUCGUAAAACUCUGUUAUUAGGGAAGAACAUAUGUGUAAGUAACUGUGCACAUCUUGACGGUACCUAAUCAGAAAGCCACGGCUAACUACGUG
rnacentral:rRNA from 1 species